rnacentral:misc_RNA from 1 species
UUUCCGUAGGUGAACCUGCGGAAGGAUCAUUACAGAGUGAACGGUCUUCGGAUCGAUUACCCGCCCUCAUGUCAUCUGCUUGACGGGGUCGGCUCCUUUGUAAGGGGCCAACCCCCGAGAAUAUUUCCCAGGAGGUGUCAUGUCUCCAUUUAUGUGAGGCGUGACCGCCUGGGGGUUUUUUUUCCAUAACUCUUUGCGAUACCCUGAAGUCUGAAGUGAAAACCUUUAAUAAAAAAAGGCAAAACUUUCAACAACGGAUCUCUUGGCUCUGGCAUCGAUGAAGAACGCAGC